GAGUGCGGGCCCCUCGGGGCCCAACCUCCCACCCGUGUUGCCCGAACCUAUGUUGCCUCGGCGGGCCCCGCGCCCGCCGACGGCCCCCCUGAACGCUGUCUGAAGUUGCAGUCUGAGACCUAUAACGAAAUUAGUUAAAACUUUCAACAACGGAUCUCUUGGUUCCGGCAUCGAUGAAGAACGCAGCGAAAUGCGAUAACUAAUGUGAAUUGCAGAAUUCAGUGAAUCAUCGAGUCUUUGAACGCACAUUGCGCCCUCUGGUAUUCCGGAGGGCAUGCCUGUCCGAGCGUCAUUGCUGCCCUCAAGCCCGGCUUGUGUGUUGGGCCCCGUCCCCCCCGCCGGGGGGACGGGCCCGAAAGGCAGCGGCGGCACCGCGUCCGGUCCUCGAGCGUAUGGGGCUUCGUCACCCGCUCUAGUAGGCCCGGCCGGCGCCAGCCGACCCCCAACCUUUAAUUAUCUCAGGUUGACCUCGGAUCAGGUAGGGAUACCCGCUGAACUUAAGCAUAUCAAUAAGCGGAGGAAAAGAAACCAACCGGGAUUGCCCUAGUAACUG
rnacentral:rRNA from 1 species